UCGAACGCGAAAGGGGAGCAAUCCCUGAGUAGAGUGGCAAACGGGUGAGUAACACGUGGGUGACCUGCCUUCGAGUGGGGGAUAACGUCCCGAAAGGGACGCUAAUACCGCAUAACAUGCUGUCUUUGAACAGGGAGACAUCAAAGCUGGGGACCGCAAGGCCUGGCGCUUGAAGAGGGGCCCGCGCCUGAUUAGCUAGUUGGUGGGGUAAUGGCUCACCAAGGCAACGAUCAGUAUCCGGCCUGAGAGGGCGGACGGACACACUGGGACUGAGACACGGCCCCAGACUCCUACGGGAGGCAGCAGUGGGGAAUUGUUCGCAAUGGGCGCAAGCCUGACGACGCAACGCCGCGUGGAGGAUGACGAUCUUCGGGUUGUAAACUCCUUUCGAUCGAGACGAACGGCCUCUGGGUGAAUAGCCCGGGGGAGUGACGGUACCGAGAGAAGAAGCCCCGGCUAACUCCGUGCCAGCAGCCGCGGUAAUACGGGGGGGGCAAGCGUUG
rnacentral:rRNA from 1 species